rnacentral:lncRNA from 1 species
CUUGGCAGUGGCGGAGCUAGCAUUUGACAGCAGGGUGGUCCGGCCCGAAAAAUUGAUAAGCAAAAUGACAUCUGAAUGUUCUAACAAACUAUCAAUAUCUUAUAGAAGGUCUUACAAACAACUAAAAUUCUCAAUUAAUCUCAGUUUUGUACAUGAUAUGUUAGCUUGCCUUUUGUAAGUAUUUUUCGAUCGAGUCGAAUUAGCUGCUGCUAUAUAUGGUGAUUUGCAUGAGCAUAAUACUGUUGUAGAAGACCAUGCUAAUCAAGCGAAUAUGCUUCUUUAGGAGAAUCGAAAUAACAGUCAGUCGUGGAUGGAUUAGAAUGGAAUAUUUAUUACCUUGGUGACAACGUCGGGCGGGCGUUGAAUCGUGGACAUGUCCCCCAUGGAUUUGGGCGGCUGGGCGAACAGAUGGACCGAGCUCCCUCCUCCGCCCAAGAAGCAACCGAGCUCCCUCCUCCGCCCAAGAAGCAGCCGGGGAAGCAGCACCGACGACCGGAACAACAUGGCGGAUCCAAAUCAUGAGUCUCCUUUGUCCAGAGCUGAACUGAGUGGCUGUCCCCAUGAGAGGACACGGGCACAACCAAACCCACACACACCAGACUACCGCUUGCUCCCGCGGAA